AAUUUUGAAGAUAUUAGUAUUUAUAUGUAUAUGGUAGUGAGUAUCAAACAGAUUUUUGCUAACUAGUUGCUUACGAUUCUUUCUAAUGGACAUGAACUGUCCUGGAAGGCCUAAAACGUGGUAUUCUUUGGGCGAUGGUAAUGGACAAAAACUAUCCAGGACAGCCCAACAUGUAACAUUCUGUGGGCCGAUUGUUGAUCGAGCGAAGCCCGAUAGUCUGCACAACUGAUCAGAUUCGAAGAUUGCGGUACCACGUCAUUCGUUUCAAAAAGCCGGCAUCCAAAAACAUGUCGGCGGUGCCGGCUGUAUGUCUCCGGUUGUUGUGGAAGAGAUUUAGAGAGAGAGAAAACGGAACGGAAAGAGUUUUUGUUUGUUUUCUUCGGUUUCUGCGGCCAGGAAACAUCAAAGGUUCAAAACAACUCUCAGUUACAGUAAACGAUCACCAUUAAAAAGGAAAGAUGGGGAACCACCACGGCCACCACAAGCAUCAUAACG
rnacentral:lncRNA from 1 species